GACGAACGCUGGCGGCAUGCCUAAUACAUGCAAGUCGAGCGAACAGAUGAAGUGCUUGCACUUCUGACGUUAGCGGCGAACGGGUGAGUAACGCGUGGGCAACCUGCCCUUCAGACGGGGACAACAUUCCGAAAGGAGUGCUAAUACCGGAUACGACCUUUGGACCGCAUGGUCUAAAGAAGAAAGGUGGCCUCUAUUUAUAAGCUACCGCUGAAGGAUGGGCCUGCGUCUGAUUAGCUAGUUGGUGGGGUAAAGGCCUACCAAGGCGACGAUCAGUAGCCGGUCUGAGAGGAUGAACGGCCACACUGGGACUGAGACACGGCCCAGACUCCUACGGGAGGCAGCAGUGGGGAAUCUUCCGCAAUGGGCGAAAGCCUGACGGAGCAACGCCGCGUGAGUGAAGAAGGUCUUCGGAUUGUAAAGCUCUGUUUAAAGGGACGAAUGGCAGAUUUGUGAAUAAUGAAUUUGCAUGACGGUACCUUUGGAGGAAGCCACGGCUAACUACGUGCCAGCCGCCGCGGUAA
rnacentral:rRNA from 1 species